GAUAAACGCUUGCGGCAGGCUUAACACAUGCAAGUCGAGGGGCAGCAUAGAUUGUAGCAAUACAAUUGGUGGCGACCGGCGCACGGGUGCGUAACGCGUAUGCAACCUACCCGUCACAGGGGGAUAAUCCGGAGAAAUCUGGUCUAAUACCCCAUAACAUAUGGAUCGGCAUCGGUUCAUGUUGAAAUUUUCGGAGGUGACGGAUGGGCAUGCGUAGCAUUAGCUUGUUGGUGAGGUAACGGCUCACCAAGGCGACGAUGCUUAGGGGGACUGAGAGGUUUUCCCCCCACACUGGUACUGAGACACGGACCAGACUCCUACGGGAGGCAGCAGUGAGGAAUAUUGGUCAAUGGGCGCAAGCCUGAACCAGCCAUGCCGCGUGCAGGAUGACGGCUCUAUGAGUUGUAAACUGCUUUUGUACGAGGGUAAAGUGGGUUACGUGUAACCUUUUGAAAGUAUCGUACGGAUAAGGAUCGGCUAACUCCGUGCCAGCCGCCGCAGUAA
rnacentral:rRNA from 1 species